GACGAACGCUGGCGGCAUGCCUAACACAUGCAAGUCGAACGGAGAAUCACUUCGGUGAUUCUUAGUGGCGAACGGGUGAGUAACGCGUAGGCAACCUGCCCUUUGGAUGGGGACAACAUUCCGAAAGGAGUGCUAAUACCGAAUGUGACAAGAGAAUCGCAUGACUCUCUUGUGAAAGAUGGCCUCUACAUGUAAGCUAUCGCCAAAGGAUGGGCCUGCGUCUGAUUAGCUAGUUGGUGGGGUAACGGCUCACCAAGGCGACGAUCAGUAGCCGGUCUGAGAGGAUGAACGGCCACAUUGGGACUGAGACACGGCCCAG
rnacentral:rRNA from 1 species